rnacentral:miRNA from 1 species
CCCCGUCCUGCAUUACCCAGUC